UACAGAGGUCUCAAGCGUUGUUCGGAAUUACUGGGCGUAAAGGGUGCGCAGGCCGCGCGGGCAGUCAAAUGUGUAAUUCAGGGGCUCAACCCCUGCACUGCGCUUGAUACUUCCGCGCUAGAACUUUGGAGAGGAGAUUGGAAUUUACGGUGUAGCAGUGAAAUGCGUAGAUAUCGUAAGGAAGACCAGUGGCGAAGGCGAAUCUCUGGACAGUUACUGACACUGAGGCACGAAGGCCAGGGGAGCAAACGGG
rnacentral:rRNA from 1 species